CUACCUUGUUACGACUUCUCACCCCAGUGUGAUCCUACAGUAAUCGCCCUCCUUACGGUUAGGCUAACUACUUCUGGUAAAACCCACUCUGGUGUGACGGGCGGUGUGUGCAGACCGAACGUAUUCCUUGCGACAUGCUGAUCACGAUUACUAGCGAUUCCGACUUCACGCAGUCGAGUUGCGACUGCGAUCGGACUACGAUCGGGUUUCUGGGGUUGGCUCCCUCGCGGGUUGGCGACCCUCUGUCCCGACCAUUGUAUGACGUGUGAGCCUACCAUGGCAGGCCAUGAGGACUUGACGAUAUCCCACCUUCCUCCGGUUUGUCGCCGGCAGUCUCAUUAGAGUGCCUUUCGUAGCAACUAAUGACGGACGCUCGUUGCGGGACUCCAACAACAUCUCGCGACUGCGGCCUGACGACAGCCAUACAGCACUGUGUUCGGUUCUCUUGCGAACACUCCCCAAAUCUCUUCGGGAUUCAGACAUCUCAAGGGUAGGUAAGGUUUUCGCGUUGCAUCAAUUAAUCCAUCAUCCACCGCUUGUGCAAGGUCCCAAAUCAAUUCACUUUGAGAGUUUAAUCUUGCGACAUACUCCCCAGGCGGUCAACUUCCACGCGUUAGCUGCACUACCAAGGCCCGAAAGGCCCAACAGCUAGUUGACAUCGUUUAGGGCGUGGACUACCGGUAUCGUCUGUUUGCUCCCCACGCUUUCGUGCAUGAGCGUCAGUGUUAUCCCAGGAGGGCUGCUUCGCCAUCGGUGUUCCUCCACAUAUCCACGCAUUUCUGCUACACAUGAAUUCCACCUCCCACUCCUGGCCUCUAGCUCGAUGAUUAAAAAUGCAGUUCCAAAGUUAAGCUCUGGGUUCGUACCUCUUUCUUUUCCAGGAACCGCCUGCGCACGCUGCGCCCAGUAGUUGGUCAACAUACCUACGUAUUACCGCGGCUGCUGGCACAUGAGUUAGCCAGUCUUAUUCUGCAGGUACCGUCACGGGUAUUAAUAACCCGUGCCGUUUCUUCUGCCAAAAGUGCUUUACAACCCGAAGGCCUUCAUCGCACACGCAGGAUGGCUGGAUCAGGUUUCCCCCCAUUGUCCAUUCCCCCUGCUGCCUCCGUAGGAGUCUGGGCCGUGUCUCAAUUUGGUGGCUGAGUCGACCUCUCAAACCAGCUACGGAUCGUCGCCUUGAGUGAGCCGUUACCCCACCAACUAGCUAAUCCGAUAUAAGCCGCUCUAAUAGUGCGAUGCCCGAGAGGUCCCCACUUUCCCCGAAGAGCCAAUGCUGCGUGUCAGCUACCGCUUUCGCGCCAGUUAUCCCCGCUACUAGGCACGUUCCAAACCGGCUCUCACCCGUUCGCCACUCGCCACCAGACCGAAGUCCGUGCUGCCGUUCGACUUGCAUGUGUAAAAGCAUCCCGCCAGCGUUCAAUCUGAGCCAGAAUCAAACC
rnacentral:rRNA from 1 species